UACAGAGGAUGCAAGCGUUAUCCGGAAUGAUUGGGCGUAAAGCGUCUGUAGGUGGCUUUUUAAGUCCGCCGUCAAAUCCCAGGGCUCAACUCUGGACAGGCGGUGGAAACUACCAAGCUUGAGUGCGGUAGAGGGUAGUGGAAUUCCCGGUGUAGCGGUGAAAUGCGUAGAGAUCGGGAGGAACACCAGUGGCGAAGGCGGCUACCUGGACCAGCACUGACACUGAGGCACGAAAGCGUGGGGAGCAAACAGGG
rnacentral:rRNA from 1 species